rnacentral:rRNA from 1 species
CAAAUUUAAAAUCUACCUGGUUUYCAGGUCGAGUUGUAAUUUGAAGAUACGUUUUUGAYGUUCCGGGUUGAACUAAAUCCUUUGGGAUAAGGUAUCAUGGAGGGUGAGAAUCCCGUAUAUACCAACCRYAGGGAUGUUAUUUAAUACGUUUCUAAGAGUCGAGUUGUUUGGGAAUGCAGCUCUAAAUGGGUGGUAAAUUUCACCUAAUGCUAAAUAUAAGCGAGAGACCGAUAGYGAACAAGUACAGUGAUGGAAAGAUGAAAAGAACUUUGAAAAGAGAGUUAAAUAGUACGUGAAAUUGUUGAAAGGGAAACGAUUGAAGUCAGUCAUGCCRGUGGGAAUCAACUUAGAGGAAACUCUGAGUGCACUUYUUCGCUUGGCAGGUCAACGUCGAUUUUGGAUGUCAUAAAAUGAUUGGGGGAAGGUAGCUCYUUCGGGAGUGUUAUAGCCCUUGGUAGAUGUGAUGUCUGGGAUCGAGGAUUGCAAUGGAUACCCUUUGGGGCUAGYCGCCUGAUCUCUAAUYGGUAUUGGGUUACGGAYAGCAUGCUGACCGUGAUCUAAUUAUUGGUUAAAAGGUUAG